rnacentral:misc_RNA from 1 species
AUUAUCAGUAUUUUGCACAGUUUUUGUUGGCAGAUUUCCGAAAGCAUUCGUUCUCAGACCAUCCGGUGGAAGCCCAAACAAUUCCCUGCCUCCAAAUUCACCCCCUCCAUUCGCACUUCGAUUGUUGUCUGUGGUCACCUCAUGAGAAUUGGAGAAACCAUUUUGACAUAGUGAGGUUUCUCUUCCUUCUGAUUGUUGACUACUAUCUUCUGAAUCUGAUGUGGAUGAGGAUUCCAGAUUUCCAUGGUUCGAAGAGGCUGUAUUGCUAUCUCCCUCACUAAGGCAUGAUGAACAAUUAUCAGAAUUUGAAGUGCUACCUAUGCUAGGAUCAGAAGCCCCACUCAAGACAGAGUUCUUUGCAAGACAUGAACCAAUUUCCUCAUAAGGAGUUUCUGUUGAGUAGCAAGGUUCCUUCACUACCACAUUGUGUCCAUUCUGGCAGCCUUUAUUUAUACUGAAGUUAGAGUUUCCUGAUUCCUCCAUGUUAUUCUCCUCAUUAUCAAUUUCACUAAAAUUUCCUGUAACUUCAGUAGAACACUUGUCACCAGGAAAAAACUUGAAUAUGUUACUAUCAGGUUCUAAUUCUUCAACCUUGAAAGCAGAUGACCUCAAGGUAACAUCACAGUCUGAGUUGCUCCGAGCAUACUUUUUGUGUGAUUCCAUAGGCUCCCAAACUUUCUUAGAAUGAAGCAAAUCUCUGCUAGAAGAAUUCUUUGUUGUGACGAUUUUGCUUUUGGGUCUUACACAACCUUCACGCAUGUAAUCUAGUUGCCCAUACUUGUUCCCACGAUAAAAUUGCUUGGACAUAUCCAGCGUAGAUUCUGACUUACCAACAGACUUGCUAUCUCGGCCAAUUCUUACUGCAGAAACAUGUGAUUCAACCUUCACCCUGUAUUCAUUUUUUUGGUGACAGCAACAAGAAUGGAAGUCAUAUCUGUCAUUCAUCCUGUUGUUAAGACAAUGAAACUUCUCAUUAAACUUAUGGCCACAAUUUCGACCAUUGGACUUCUGUCCAUUUAUCCUUGACUGCCUAUUCUUGGAGGAGUCUCAAAAUUGUCACUGUAAGGUCUCGACUCAGAUCUAUUAACUGUAGCCCCAUUUUCUGAAACAACUGCAAGUUGGCGUCUAUCAGACCACUUCAAAGAGGGAUCAAGUGGAACUUCUUUCCGAAAUUUCAAUAUCCGACGAGAAAAUUUUGAUUGUUCAAUCAUAAAAGAGUCUUUCACAUUAGUGACUUCUCCAUCAGGACUACCACAGGAGUUGUUUAGCAUUGCGGAAAUGGCAUACCCAUUUGAGAAUUGUUCUUGAAUAAUAGGAGAUCCAGGCCUGGACGGAGAAAUGUCACCAGUUUCACUAACUAAAUCCCUAAAGCUGACUGCAUUAUUAGGUUCCUCAUGAACACUUGCUGAUGUUUCAUCCUUUGAGACUUCAAGACAAUCAUUUGAUUCGGAGCACCUCUUUUCUUUAUCCCUUUCCUUCCCUUUUAACCUCUCCUUUCUUCGAAGCUUUUU